ensembl:rRNA 5S_rRNA 5S ribosomal RNA
GCCAGCCGCCAUAUCACCCUGUAGCCCAAGACUGGUUGCCCACUGAAGCUAAGCAGGGCUGAGCCUGGUCAGUACCUGGAUGGGAGACCUCCUGGGAAAACUAGGUUGCUGCUGGAA